rnacentral:rRNA from 1 species
GGUCAAGCUAAUAAGGGCUAACGGUGGAUACCUAGGCACACAGAGGCGAUGAAGGACGCGGUUACCGGCGAUACGCCCCGGGGAGUUGGAAGCGAGCAGUGAUCCGGGGAUUUCCGAAUGGGGCAACCCUCAAUACUACCCACUCAAUCCAUAGGUGGGAAAGAGCGAACGCAGCGAACUGAAACAUCUUAGUAGCUGUAGGAAAAGAAAACAAACGUGAUUCCCCUAGUAGCGGCGAGCGAAGCGGGAAGAGCCUAAACCAGCGUGCAUGCACGCUGGGGUUGUGGGACAGCGACAUGGAAUCUGGAGACUAGACGAAGCAUUGGAAUGAUGCACCAGAGAAAGUGACAGUCUUGUAGUCGAAAGUUGAAGGAUACUAGCUGGAUCCCGAGUAGCCUGGAGCACGUGGAAUUCCGGGUGAAUCAGCGAGGACCACCUCGUAAGGCUAAAUACUCCUGUGUGACCGAUAGUGAACCAGUACCGCGAGGGAACGGUGAAAAGAACCCCGGGAGGGGAGUGAAAUAGAACAUGAAACCGUUAGCCUACAAGCAGUGGAAGGCCGAUUCAACGGCUGACCGCGUGCCUGUUGAAGAAUGAGCCGGCGACUUAUAGGCACUGGCAGAUUAAGCCGAAAAUGGCGGAGUCAAAGCGAAAGCGAGUCUGAAGAGGGCGAAGCGUCAGUGUUUAUAGACCCGAACCCGGGUGAUCUAACCAUGUCCAGGAUGAAGCUUGGGUAACACCAAGUGGAGGUCCGAACCGACCGAUGUUGAAAAAUCGGCGGAUGAGGUGUGGUUAGGGGUGAAAUGCCAAUCGAACCCGGAGCUAGCUGGUUCUCCCCGAAAUGUGUUGAGGCGCAGCGGUGGAUGUUAUAGCUGGGGGGUAAAGCACUGAUUCGGUGCGGGCUGCGAGAGCGGUACCAAAUCGAGUCAAACUCUGAAUACCCAGCGCACAGUCCGCCAGUGAGACGGUGGGGGAUAAGCUUCAUCGUCAAGAGGGAAACAGCCCAGACCACCAGCUAAGGUCCCCAAAUCACGGCUAAGUGAGAAAGGAGGUGGGAGUGCAUAGACAACCAGGAGGUUUGCCUAGAAGCAGCCAUCCUUAAAAGAGUGCGUAAUAGCUCACUGGUCAAGCGCUCCUGCGCCGAAAAUGAACGGGGCUAAGUCGUGUACCGAAGCUGUGGAUUCGCAAGAAUGGUAGGGGAGCGUUCUGUAGUAGUGAGAAGCAUCAGCGUAAGCAGGUGUGGACGAAGCAGAAGUGAGAAUGUCGGCUUGAGUAGCGCAAACAUUGGUGAGAAUCCAAUGCCCUGAAAUCCCAAGGGUUCCUCCGGAAGGCUCGUCCGCGGAGGGUUAGUCGGGACCUAAGGCGAGGCCGAAAGGCGUAGUCGAUGGAGAAUCGGUUAAUAUUCCGAUACCGAUUUUGAAUGGUGGCGGGGGACGGAGAAGGCUAACACAGCCGGAUGUUGGUUACCGGUUCAAGUGUCCGAGGUGAGGAGAGACGGUGAAAACGUCUUGAGCUGAGGCAUGAGUACGAGGGUCUACGGACCCGAAGUGUGUGAGGUCAGGCUUCCAAGAAAAGCCCGAACCACGUUAAUUCAAAAUUGCCCGUACCCGAAACCGACACAGGUGGGAAGGUUGAGAAUACCGAAGGGCGCGAGAUAACUCUCUCUAAGGAACUCGGCAAAAUGGCCCCGUAACUUCGGAAGAAGGGGUGCCCCCGCGAGGGGGUCGCAGUGAAGAGGCCCAGGCGACUGUUUACCAAAAACACAGGUCUCCGCGAAGUCGAAAGACGAGGUAUGGGGGCUGACGCCUGCCCAGUGCCGGAAGGUUAAGGAAGUCGGUCAGCGCAAGCGAAGCUGGCGACCGAAGCCCCGGUGAACGGCGGCCGUAACUAUAACGGUCCUAAGGUAGCGAAAUUCCUUGUCGGGUAAGUUCCGACCCGCACGAAAGG